GUGAGGAAGCGAAAUUGUUCUUCACGUCAGGGCCACGAUGGUUUAUAGGUCUCAGUAAACCAUGGUGGCUCGGACGAGAAGAGCACAUUCGUUUUCGUUUGC
rnacentral:pre_miRNA from 1 species